rnacentral:lncRNA from 1 species
UGGAACUAUACAGAGAGAGGAAUAAGGAUCUGCACAUGGUGUUUAUUGACCUAGAGAAAGCGUAUGACAAGGUUCCUAGAGAAAUUCUCUGGAGAUGCCUGGAGGCAAAAGGUGUGUCGGUUCCCUACAUUAUGGCGAUUAAGGACAUGUAUGAUGGGGCUAAGACUCGGGUUAGGACAGUAGGAGGCGACUCUGAGUAUUUUCCGGUUGUAAUGGUGUUACACCAAGGUUCUGCGCUCAGUCCAUUCUUAUUCGCCCUGGUGAUGGACGCGUUAACACACCAUAUUCAAGGGGAUGUGUAUGGUGCAUGCUAUUAACCGAUGACAUAGUUCUGAUUGAUGAGUCGCGAGCCGGUGUUAACGCGAGGCUGGAGGUUUGGAGACAAGCUUUUAAGUCUAAGAGUUUCAAGCUGAGCAGGACGAAGACGGAAUACCUGGAGUGUAAGUUCAGCGCUGAGCCAGGGGAAGUAGGCGUGGAUGUGAGGCUUGAUUCGCAGGUCAUCCCCAGUAGAGGCAGCUUCAAGUACCUUGGUUUGGUUAUCCAGGGGGAGGA